rnacentral:rRNA from 1 species
CCGGAUUUUUAGAUGAGAGUUAGACCUGCCCGGUGAAAUUUAAACGGCUGCAACGAGAGUUGUGCUAAGGUAGCGUGAUAAGUUGUCUUUUAAUUGGAGAAUGGUAUGAAUGGUUUCACGUAGGAUUUCUGUCUUUAUGGAAUAGCAUGAAGUUUCCUUUUAAGUGAAAAGGCUUAAAUUUUUGUAAAAGAAGAGAAGACCCUGUCGAGCUUAAUUAAUAUUAUUUGUUGUUGGUAAUUAAAAUUUUUGUUGGGGCAAUAUAAAUCAAGAUAGCGGUUUAAUAUAAAAUUUAGAUCCUUUAGUGAGAGAAAAUAGCAGAAGCUACCGCAGGGAUAACAGCGUUAUCCUUUCUGGGAGAUCGAAUUGAGGGAAGGGUUUGCGACCUCGAUGUUGGAUUAUGGAAACAUUACGGUGCAGCAGCUGUAAUUGUAAGACUGUUCGUCUUUUAAAUCCGUACAUGAUCUGAGUUCAGACCGGA